rnacentral:rRNA from 1 species
UACAGAGGUCCCGAGCGUUUGUUCGGAUUUAUUGGGCGUAAAGGGUGCGUAGGCGGCGGAGUAAGUUGGGUGUGAAAUCCCGGGGCUCAACCUCGGAAUUGCAUUCAAUACUGCUUCGCUCGAGUACUGGAGAGGAGGCUGGAAUUUACGGUGUAGCAGUGAAAUGCGUAGAUAUCGUAAGGAAGGCCGGUGGCGAAAGCGAGCCUCUGGACAGUUACUGACGCUGAUGCACGAAGGCCAGGGGAGCAAACGGG